rnacentral:lncRNA from 1 species
ACAUGUGAUGUAUCAGAUCUGAAAGUAUGUUAAUUAGAUUGAUUUUUGAUACAUGAGAUGUAUGCAAAGCAUGUAUUAGUUAGAUCUUAAAUUGUAUAUGAGAUAUGUUAAUUUAGAUCUAACUAGUUUUGUAGUUAAAUUUAUAUUUCUGGUUAAGGUGUUCCUCAUGGCCGUCCGAUCAUAAGUAUGAAGUAGGGUUUAAAGGCCCUCUCCUCCCAUUCAAUGGGGCGUUCAUAUGACGUGUAGGGGUGCCGCGCGUUCAUCCUUAAUCAGAAAUCAAAACUUACUUUUCUGCAAAACCCUAGAUCCUGAAACCCUAGGAUUUAUUAUACAUACUUUGUUUAUGAACCCAAACUUAAUUAAUGUAUUAAGUUUAUGAAAUUAAAUUAGGUCUAAAAUUAAGAAUUUCAGAUCUAAGAUAUUUUCAUAAAAUUGGGUUCGGGCUUGGGUAGCUCAAUUAGGUCUAGCGGUUGAUCAAACCGAAUCAAGAGUUGGUUAGGUGGGA